rnacentral:lncRNA from 1 species
AUUUCUUGAAGAAUAUUGUGAAUUUGAAAUGUCAUUAAAUAUUGUUUCAUAAUUAUCAUAUCAUGAACAAUAACUGUGUCAGACAUUGUGGAAUCAUUGGGAAAGUAUAAGCGGAAUUGAAUAAUUGUGAUCAUUACAUGAUCAUUUGUUGGAGUCCCAAAUUGGAAAAAUAUGAGAUUUAUGGAAAUAUGAAACUAAAAGUAGUUGAGUCCACUUUCGGGGCAUUAAGAUUGUUAUGAUCCCACAUCGACUACACUUAUGGGGGUGUAGGUGUUCUUAAGUCCUUGGGGUCCUCCCACCUAUUGGACUAGUCUUUUGGGUUGGGCUCUUUCCUUGGGCUUGAGUACCUAACAUUGGUAUCAGAGCCUAGGUUUCCGACGCUGCGGAGGAGGCGACCUGGAAAGGGCUACCUUAACGGGAUGACCAAAGGGUGCGCCGCCGUUAAGAGUGAAAGCCACCAGAGUAAGGGCAGCCGUGGGCGUCGGCUGUCGAAGGGUGGUGUAAUGUUAUGAUCCCACAUCGACUACACUUAUGGGGGUGUAGGGGUUCUUAAGUCCUUGGGGUCCUCCCACCUAUUGGACUAGUCUUUUGGGUUGGGCUCUUCCCUUGGGCUUGAGUACCUAACAUUGGUAUCAGAACCUAGGUUCCCGACGCUGCGGAGGGGGCAACCUGGAAAGGGCUACCUUAACAGGACAACCAAAGGAUGCGCAGCCGUUAAGAGUGAAAGCCACUAGAGUAAGGGCCGUCAUGGGCUUCGGCUUCCGAAGGGUGGUGUAAUGUUAUGAUCCCACAUCGAUUACACUUAUGGGGGUGUAGGAGUUCUUAAGUCAUUGGGG